UAUUUUGGCUCUGCGGGGGGAUGGAUGGGAUGGGGGGAGGGUCCCAGCCCCAUGUGCUGCUUCCCGGAGUUGCUUUUGGGGUGCAGGGCCCCAAGAGUGACCCCACGGCUGUGUCCUGCCAGGGGACGGGGAGGCUGUGCGUGCUGGCGACACCGCCGUGUGCCACCUCGCUGGCUGUCACCAGGGAGUCUCAGCGCCUGGCUGGGGGCAGCUGCCACCCCUGCCGGUGGCACACGCUGUCCCCCAUCCCCGGGGCGCCGCUCGGCUCCCGGAUCCUCAUUGGCAUUCCGCGGGCGCGCCGCGGCAGCUGGCGGGAUGGCAGCGGGAUGGCAGCGGAGUGACAGCGGUGACAGGGAGAUAUUUGCAUCGCCUCGGAGGCUCCUUCCCGGAGGGAUGGCAUUUGUCACCGGCGUUAUGGAUGCAGCGCGUCCCCUCUCCUGACACCACAUGCCCAUUAGCAGGAGCACAUCCCGCUCCUCCAGCCCUGCCGCGAGCAUCUCCAGGCACGGGAGCAGAGAUCCAUCUUCCCGGCGGGCCCCGCCGCCCCGCUCCCCAUCGGCAUUCCGCCGCCGCGGGCUCCCGGUCCGAGCUCCGCCGCGUCCUCCGGGGCCGCGGCCUUGAUUGCAUCCUUGUGCUUCCAUAAAUCAGAGAUUCCAUAAAUCAGCCUGGUGGCGCGAGGGGGGAAUGGCAAUGGCACAGGCAGGGGACGAGCACAGCCUUGUCGCUGGGGAGUUUUCCCUUGGCAGGGAUCUGCUGCCGCCUCCUCCUCCUCCUCCCCCUGCCAUCCGUGGCUCUGCAGAAUCCCUCACAGCCCCUGCGUGACCUGCCGUGGCACCGUGCCCGUGGAAAGCUGCAAACCCGACCCUCAGCUGCCAAAACGCCGUCAGAAAAAUCAGGAAAUCAGGAAGGCUGGGGAAAGUCUGAGCUGCUGCGACAACACCUGGGAACGAGCAUUAUUAUGUGGUGUGACAAGGAGUCAUUUGAUGCCACUAAUCAUGGCUGUGAUCCGCCACGCCGGGAUGUGUAAUGACAACGCUGAACAGGAAAAAUGGCACUCGGAUCCUCCGCUCUUCCCGCUCUAAUCUAUAUUUUACCACAUCUUUCUACCUAAUGAUACUUAUAACUGUUAAUAAAUGACUACUUAGGCACUUCC